GACGAACGCUGGCGGCGUGCCUAAUACAUGCAAGUUGAGCGCUGAAGGUUGGUACUUGUACCAACUGGAUGAGCAGCGAACGGGUGAGUAACGCGUGGGGAAUCUGCCUUUGAGCGGGGGACAACAUUUGGAAACGAAUGCUAAUACCGCAUAAAAACUUUAAACACAAGUUUUAAGUGUGAAAGAUGCAAUUGCAUCACUCAAAGAUGAUCCCGCGUUGUAUUAGCUAGUUGGUGAGGUAAAGGCUCACCAAGGCGAUGAUACAUAGCCGACCUGAGAGGGUGGUCGGCCACAUUGGGACUGAGACACGGCCCAAACUCCUACGGGAGGCAGCAGUAGGGAAUCUUCGGCAAUGAACGAAAGUCUGACCGAGCAACGCCGCGUGAGUGAAGAAGGUUUUCGGAUCGUAAAACUCUGUUGGUAGAGAAGAACGUUGGUGAGAGUGGAAAGCUCAUCAAGUGACGGUAACUACCCAGAAAGGGACGGCUAACUACGUG
rnacentral:rRNA from 1 species